ACCCUUUAGUGUUAGACAAAUUUGUCUAGUCGGGCGUUACGCCAGACUCAAACUUAUUGGAGAA
rnacentral:sRNA from 1 species